rnacentral:rRNA from 1 species
GACGGAGGAUGCAAGCGUUAUCCGGAAUUAUUGGGCGUAAAGCGUCCGCAGGUGGCAGUUCAAGUCUGCUGUCAAAGACCGGGGCUUAACUUCGGAAAGGCAGUGGAAACUGAACAGCUAGAGUAUGGUAGGGGCAGAGGGAAUUCCCGGUGUAGCGGUGAAAUGCGUAGAGAUCGGGAAGAACAUCGGUGGCGAAAGCGCUCUGCUGGACUGCAACUGACACUCAGGGACGAAAGCUAGGGGAGCGAAUGGG